CAAUAGCGUAUAUUAAAGUUGUUGCAGUUAAAAAGCUCGUAGUUGGAUUUCUGUCCGGGAGCCGAUGUGCCACGGAAGUGUGUACGAGGCACUGGACAUCCUUCUGUAACUGUGUUAGGACUUCAUUGGCCUGCGCAGGGAUCAGAUAAUUUACCUUGAGAAAAUUAGAGUGUUUCAGGCAGGCUUAGCCGGAAUACAUUAGCAUGGAAUAAUGGAAUAGGACUAUGGUCUCGUUGUUGGUUUGAGGGAUCGCAGUAAUGAUUAAUAGGGAUAGUUGGGGGCAUUAGUAUUUAUUAGCUAGAGGUGGAAUUCUCUAAUUUAAUAAAGACUAACUUAUGCGAAAGCAUUUGCCAAGGAUGUUUUCAUUAA
rnacentral:rRNA from 1 species